rnacentral:rRNA from 1 species
AUUGAACGCUGGCGGCAUGCUUUACACAUGCAAGUCGAACGGUAACAGGCCGCAAGGUGCUGACGAGUGGCGAACGGGUGAGUAAUGCAUCGGAACGUGCCCAGUCGUGGGGGAUAACGCAGCGAAAGCUGCGCUAAUACCGCAUACGAUCUAUGGAUGAAAGCGGGGGACCGUAAGGCCUCGCGCGAUUGGAGCGGCCGAUGUCAGAUUAGGUAGUUGGUGGGGUAAAGGCCUACCAAGCCAACGAUCUGUAGCUGGUCUGAGAGGACGACCAGCCACACUGGGACUGAGACACGGCCCAGACUCCUACGGGAGGCAGCAGUGGGGAAUUUUGGACAAUGGGCGAAAGCCUGAUCCAGCAAUGCCGCGUGCAGGAAGAAGGCCUUCGGGUUGUAAACUGCUUUUGUACGGAACGAAACGGUCUGGGUUAAUACCCUGGGCUAAUGACGGUACCGUAAGAAUAAGCACCGGCUAACUACGUGCCAGCCGCCGCAGUAAGAC